CCCUUAGAUGUUCUGGGCUGCACGCGCGCUACACUGAUACUUUCAGCGAGUCCACCACCUUGCCUGGGAGGGUGGGGUAACCUCUGGAAAGUGCAUCGUGAUGGGGAUCGAUUAUUGUAAUUAUUAAUCUUCAACGAGGAAUUCCUAGUAAGCAUGUGUCAUCAGCCCGUGCUGAUUACGUCCCUGCCCUUUGUACACACCGCCCGUCGCUCCUACCGAUUGAAUGUGUUGGUGAGGAGCUCGGAUUGGCAGCAGUUGGUGGUUCGCCACCGGCUAUUGCUGAGAAGUCCUCCAAACCGCCCCAUUUAGAGGAAGGAGAAGUCGUAACA
rnacentral:rRNA from 1 species